CGUAAGUCAAAACGCUCAGUUCUUGGACAGUGCUGUGGGGUAGAGGGUCGACUAUUUGAAUUCCAGUAAACACAGGAAAUUAUUUGAGCUAAGAUGAAAGGAGAAUGACUUCAACGGCUGAAACGUCAUGAGAACAUCAUGUUCUUGUUGGAAUUACGAGGAUUAUAGCUGUGAUACAGAGGGUGGACAAAGGUUCAAUACAGUCCAGGGGCAGCUUAAAUCUACGGCUUCUCCCCGUAACACCUGUUGCUGACAGGGCCUCUGCAGUCGAGCACCCUCGGUCCCAGCAACUGCAGAAAGGCUGGCUCACCAUAUGACUGAGCCUAGAGACAACCUCAGCCCACACACUUGUGCUUCGCUUCCAGAGCGUUCUGUUCUGUAUCCCUACAGUCAAAAAAGAGACAGCCAGAUCUUUCUACAAUACAGAGAAUAACCCUGUUCCACGCUACACAUGCCAUGGCCAACUGUUGCUGGACAAAGGGACAAAACAUGUUGCCUUGGCAACACUCCGCUGAAAUAACUGCAUUGGUAGUCUCUGGGAAAAUAUCUCUCUUGUACAUUCAGCUAAUACUGGAUUUUGUGACUAAAUGCAUUUUCUGUGUGUAUUUACAGCUAAUGAAAGAUUAGACACAUUAGACUUGUAUGGCAGCACAUAGUUAUACACCCUCUCCAUCCUUCCAUAUAGUGACAGAACACAUUCUCCCUUUAUCUUGCUCGUACUGCUGCUAGGUUCUCUUAUUUUUCACCACGUGUCUCCUGCACAGAACGUUGGUGGCAGUGGUGCGUCACGUUGGGUGUUCACCAUAGGUGGGCAACCCCAAAAUCGAUUGCUCCGAGAGCUGCGAUUUCUCCCAGGCUCUUUCUAACACAUUCCAUUCCCCCAGUGCCAUGCCACAUCCUGCAGGUUGGGACCACAGCCCAUCUGGGUUUGGUUAGAGCCAAGACACAGCCAUAAAACUAGGCCAAGAGGAAAACAGAGGGGCACCUCGUCAUCUACAACCCCAACCAGUGUUCUGCGACGGGAGCUCUGAUGUGGUCUGGCACAAUGUUGCACUAGCGAAAGCUGGCAGUCUUUUGGUUUGACCUGAUGUCACUCACAAUAAAGCUUGAAACUGA